rnacentral:rRNA from 1 species
GCGGAGGAAAAGAAACUAACAAGGAUUCCCCUAGUAACUGCGAGUGAAGCGGGAAAAGCUCAAAUUUAAAAUCUGGCGGUCUCUGGCCGUCCGAGUUGUAAUCUAGAGAAGUGAUGCCCGCGCUGGACCGUGUACAAGUCUCCUGGAAUGGAGCGUCAUAGAGGGUGAGAAUCCCGUCUCUGACACGGACUACCAGGGCUUUGUGGUAUGCUCUCAAAGAGUCGAGUUGUUUGGGAAUGCAGCUCUAAAUGGGUGGUAAAUUCCAUCUAAAGCUAAAUAUUGGCGAGAGACCGAUAGCGAACAAGUACCGUGAGGGAAAGAUGAAAAGAACUUUGGAAAGAGAGUUAAACAGUACGUGAAAUUGCUGAAAGGGAAACGCUUGAAGUCAGUCGCGUUAGCUAGGAAUCAGCCUUGCUUUUGCAUGGUGUACUUUCUGGUUGACGGGUCAGCAUCAAUUUUGACCGCUGGAAAAAGGCUUGGGGAAUGUGGCAGCUUCGGCUGUGUUAUAGCCCUUUGUCACAUACAGCGGUUGGGAUUGAGGAACUCAGCACGCCGCAGGCCGGGUUUCGACCACGUUCGUGCUUAGGAUGCUGGCAUAAUGGCUUUAAGCGACCCGUCUUGAAACACGGACCAAGGAGUCUAACAUGCCUGCGAGUGUUUGGGUGGUAAACCCGAGCGCGUAAUGAAAGUGAAAGUUGAGAUCCCUGUCGUGGGGAGCAUCGACGCCCGGACUUGAACUUUUGUGACGGAUCCGCGGUAGAGCAUGUAUGUUGGGACCCGAAAGAUGGUGAACUAUGCCUGAAUAGGGUGAAGCCAGAGGAAACUCUGGUGGAGGCUCGUAGCGAUUCUGACGUGCAAAUCGAUCGUCAAAUUUGGGUAUAGGGGCGAAAGACUAAUCGA